rnacentral:rRNA from 1 species
AUUGAACGCUGGCGGCAUGCUUUACGCAUGCAAGUCGAACGGUAACAAGCCUUCGGGUGCUGACGAGUGGCGAACGGGUGAGUAAUGCAUCGGAACGUACCCAGAGGUGGGGGAUAACGCAGCGAAAGCUGUGCUAAUACCGCAUGUGAUCUGAGGAUGAAAGCGGGGGACCGAGCAGCAAUGUUUGGCCUCGCGCCUUUGGAGCGGCCGAUGUCGGAUUAGCUAGUUGGUGGGGUAAAGGCCUACCAAGGCGACGAUCCGUAGCUGGUCUGAGAGGACGACCAGCCACACUGGGACUGAGACACGGCCCAGACUCCUACGGGAGGCAGCAGUGGGGAAUUUUGGACAAUGGGCGCAAGCCUGAUCCAGCAAUGCCGCGUGCGGGAAGAAGGCCUUCGGGUUGUAAACCGCUUUUGGCAGGAACGAAACGGUGUCCGCUAAUACCGGGCGCUAAUGACGGUACCUGCAGAAUAAGCACCGGCUAACUACGUG